rnacentral:siRNA from 1 species
UGUAAGAGAGGUGAUACUGAU